GACGUAGGGCGCGAGCGUUGUCCGGAUUUAUUGGGCGUAAAGAGCUCGUAGGCGGCUUGUCGCGUCGACUGUGAAAUCCCGAGGCUCAACCUCGGGCCUGCAGUGGGUACGGGCAGACUAGAGUUCGGUAGGGGAGACUGGAAUUCCUGGUGUAGCGGUGAAAUGCGCAGAUAUCAGGAGGAACACCGGUGGCGAAGGCGGGUCUCUGGGCCGAAACUGACGCUGAGGAGCGAAAGCGUGGGGAGCAAACAGG
rnacentral:rRNA from 1 species